GCCAACAAAUAUUUGCUUAUUCAAUCUACUGAAUUUUAUUACAAAUUGCAACUCCUUCCAUAAAUUUAAAUUACAUGAAGAAGAGUAUAAGCAAUUAUUUGAGAAAUAUAUAUACAUGCAAUACACAACAAAAUUCUUAGAUAAGUUCCAGCAUCUGGUGAGAAGAAAUAUAUUAUAAUUGCAUCACCAAGCAAUUUAUGUAUCACCCAAAAAGGAGAAAAAAAAAAAUAAAGCAGAAAAUACAGCAGAUAAUCGAGAAGCUAUGAUGAGGAAGCUUUACUAGAAGAGGAAUUGCCAUAGAUGUAAGAACCAAAUCCCCAGAAUGUUGUGAUCAAAGAGAGAAUCUUGAAACCGCUCAUGGGGUCGUGCAGCAAAAUAACAGCGGCAAUGCUUGUGAGAGGUACCCUCACUGCAUUGAGAACACCAGCCAGUACAGUAGAAGCCAAAUAAAGCACAGCAGUGCCUCCCAGUAAUCCCAACUGAAAAGUAAUUGUACCCCAGACAAGAACCAGGAUAUAUGAAACUUCACCACCUUCAAAAUUUUUAGCCUCAGAUUUCAUCCCUUGAAAAUCUUUAUUCACAAUGACCCCAAUGGUGGUAAAUACGAAACCGAAGAAAGAAACCAUGACCUGCUGCUCCAAUACAACAUGGAAGGAUCUUUUCCCCAACAAUUUAAUGAAAACUAGCUCUGAAAGAGCAAAGAUGAGCCCAUGGAGAGCAGAUCCCAAGAUAUCCCAUAUAAAACCCAUAAUAUACUGAUGGUCACUGACAUAGUCAUAUCUGUCAGAAUCUGAAUCCAAUGCAAUUAUGGUUAUAGCAACUGUAAUAAUCACAAUAGCAUUUAUCAUUGAAGCAUUCAGUUUGUUUUUCACAAUAAAAUAUCCACACAGAGCAGAAAACACCAGGGAUGAUGAAGCCAGAAGAGAGGCAGUUGAUGCUGGGAGAUAAGCAUAUGCGUAUGCAUACAUCAGGUUGUCAGCAGCGCUUAAGAAACCCAACACAAUAUAAGAGAGAAUGAGUUUUAGGGUCAGAGGAGUUGGAAAUGUUUUACAAAAGAAGUAAGUGGGCAAUAAAAUUAAAGCAGUUAAAGGCCACCCAGCAACUGCCACCCAUGAAAUAAUCCACUUGCUUGUACCCCCAUUUGCAUAAUAAACACGUGAAAGUAGACUUGAGGCAGGAAACGCCACAAGCAUUGCUCCAACACUCGAAAGUAGAAGAAUCCACUGUGAGAUUGGCUUUCUUUUGUGUGCUUCCAAAGCCUGAGUCUUCCAGUUAGACAUUUUGUCACGCAUUGAAAUAGAAGGUCGCGCUGAUUCCUUCUCCAUUCUUUCAUCUGAGUAAGAACAAUUGGAAGCAAUACUAUUGCAGUCAACUGCAUUCUCCUUAUCAUUAUCUUCAGUUAAAAAAAACAGAACCUUUGUAUAUCCAAAUUGAUCAAAUGUUACGAAAUUAAAAUUUUGCACGUAGGCACAUGUGCGAGCGAGUGCUUUUUUACGGGUUCUGCUUCUGAAUUUAUAUCCCUUUUACUUUCAUCAUUCAAAUCCAACUGGAAUUAUCUAUAUAAGGAGCAUUCAUUCAUUGACGAGAAAUUGAGAAUGAAUGAUGAACAAAUCACAGCCUAGAAAAUUAUGUCAGGUUCUAUUUGGAUGAGAAUUUAAAAAAUGAAUGGAAUUCAUUUCAGUAUUGAAAUGAAAUUUGAUGAGUGUGGAUGAAAAUCUGCUUGAUAAUGAAUUUGAAAUACUUACUAAGAAGGUGUAAAAGCAUUUUGAUUUCCUCCUCUUAACAAGUCUAAAUCUUUAUGUAAGCAAAUUUCAACUGAAAAAUCAAACUUAAAAUCCCUAGAUAUCAACUUUCGUAAUAAUAUGCAAAUGAAACCAGCUGGAUGGAAGGAUUUUAAGCAAAAAAAAAAUUUAGAUGUGAUUUUAGUUUAAUUAUUUGAAUGAGAAUUGCUAUUGCUUGAAGGAGCCAGUUAUGUGCAGAAUUAAAUAAACAUAUUUGAAAAGAAUGAUAAAUUCAAAGAUACUUACAAGAAAAGGGCAUUCAAAAUCCCAAAACAUGAUGAUGCUUUACCCAACAAAAUUCCAUCCAAAACCCAGUAAUCACACUCAAAAUUAGCUUAAAAAAACUCCCAAGAAGAAAAAGCAGCUUAAAAGGAAAACCCAGAUAGUAAAAUGCAUAAUUAAGGCUAAUUCAGUGUAAUGAAUAAGGAAAAAAGAGAAUUAAAAGGAACAAACCAGCCACUAAAAGCACCUCUACCUCGUUCUUGUCCAUUAUUCCAGAAAAUGGGUAUUUUGUGAGAGUGGGAAACUUUUUGCUCUUACCCAACUUUAG
rnacentral:misc_RNA from 1 species